rnacentral:rRNA from 1 species
CAGCAGCCGCGGGAAUACGGAGGGAGCUAGCGUUGUUCGGAAUUACUGGGCGUAAAGCGCACGUAGGCGGUUAUUCAAGUCAGAGGUGAAAGCCCGGGGCUCAACCCCGGAACUGCCUUUGAAACUAGAUGACUAGAAUCUUGGAGAGGUCAGUGGAAUUCCGAGUGUAGAGGUGAAAUUCGUAGAUAUUCGGAAGAACACCAGUGGCGAAGGCGACUGACUGGACAAGUAUUGACGCUGAGGUGCGAAAGCGUGGGGAGCAAACAGGAUUAGAUACCCGCGUAGUCCCUGUCUCUUAUAC